rnacentral:rRNA from 1 species
GACGAACGCUGGCGGCGUGCUUAACACAUGCAAGUCGAACGCUGAACCCGCUUCGGUGGGGGAUGAGUGGCGAACGGGUGAGUAACACGUGGGCAACCUGCCCCCGGCUCUGGGAUAACUCCAAGAAAUUGGGGCUAAUACCGGAUGUGACCGCUGGCCGCAUGGUCUGGUGGUGGAAAGGGUUUCCGGCUGGGGAUGGGCCCGCGGCCUAUCAGCUUGUUGGUGGGGUAGUGGCCUACCAAGGCGACGACGGGUAGCCGGCCUGAGAGGGUGACCGGCCGCACUGGGACUGAGACACGGCCCAGACUCCUACGGGAGGCAGCAGUGGGGAAUAUUGCGCAAUGGGCGGAAGCCUGACGCAGCGACGCCGCGUGGGGGAUGACGGCCUUCGGGUUGUAAACCUCUUUCAGCAGGGACGAAGCGCAAGUGACGGUACCUGCAGAAGAAGCACCGGCCAACUACGUG